UCUACCCUGUUCAAGAUCUCAACUAUGGUACGUGGAUAUUCACUGCAAGGCCAUCAACAAAGAGUUUGAACACCUGUAUACCAAUAUUUCUACCUAUCACCUGUGUAACCUUUGCUGUGUUCAUCAGACAGAUGAGGAACCACUUGAUAUAAUUAUACCAUUCACAACACAGGCUACUACAGAAUCACAAUGCGAAAGCUCAGAUGUACCCAAUAUUCAAGAAAGCUAGGAAGAUGACAGGACUUCUUGCCCUGUCCUUGGUAGCAGCUGACAAUGGAACCGACAGCAACAAACC